rnacentral:pre_miRNA from 1 species
ACCUUUCUCUUGUUGUCUACUGUCCUGUGUUCAGAAUGCAGUGGACAACAAGAUAAUGGUGU